rnacentral:rRNA from 1 species
AGUGAACGCUGGCGGUAGGCCUAACACAUGCAAGUCGAACGGCAGCACAGAGGAGCUUGCUCCUUGGGUGGCGAGUGGCGGACGGGUGAGGAAUACAUCGGAAUCUACUCUGUCGUGGGGGAUAACGUAGGGAAACUUACGCUUAUACCGCAUACGACCUACGGGUGAAAGCAGGGGAUCUUCGGACCUUGCGCGAUUGAAUGAGCCGAUGUCGGAUUAGCGAGUUGGCGGGGUAAAGGCCCACCAAGGCGACGAUCCGUAGCUGGUCUGAGAGGAUGAUCAGCCAAACUGGAACUGAGACACGGUCCAGACUCCUACGGGAGGCAGCAGUGGGGAAUAUUGGACAAUGGGCGCAAGCCUGAUCCAGCCAUACCGCGUGGGUGAAGAAGGCCUUCGGGUUGUAAAGCCCUUUUGUUGGGAAAGAAAUCCAUCUGGUUAAUACCCGGGUGGGAUGACGGUACCCAAAGAAUAAGCACCGGCUAACUUCGUGCCAGCCGCCGCCGUAA